rnacentral:rRNA from 1 species
GAUGAACGCUGGCGGCGUGCUUAACACAUGCAAGUCGAACGAAGCACUUGUUAUUGAGACCUUCGGAUGGAAGCAUGGAUAACUUAGCGGCGGACGGGUGAGUAACGCGUGGGCAAUCUGCCUUUUACAGGGGGAUAACACAGGGAAACCUGUGCUAAUACCGCAUAAAACUGCACUGUGGCAUCACAGAGUAGCCAAAGGAGCAAUCCGGUAAAAGAGGAGCCCGCGUCUGAUUAGCUAGUUGGUGAGGUAACGGCCCACCAAGGCGACGAUCAGUAGCCGAACUGAGAGGAUGAACGGCCACAUUGGGACUGAGAUACGGCCCAGACUCCUACGGGAGGCAGCAGUGGGGAAUAUUGGGCAAUGGGCGAAAGCCUGACCCAGCAACGCCGCGUGAAGGAUGACGGUCUUCGGAUUGUAAACUUCUUUAAUUGGGGAAGAACAAAAUGACCUACCCAAAGAAUAAGUCACGGCUAACUACGUG